UAUCUCUGUAGAGUCUGCAUAUCAAUAAGCGGAGGAAAAGAAACUAACUAGGAUUCCCUCAGUAACGGCGAGUGAAGCGGGAAGAGCUCAAAUUUGAAAUCUUCAAGGUUCUACCUUGACGAAUUGUAGUUUAAAGAAGUGUUUUCUGUUGGAGUUUUGGUAAAAGUUCUUUGGAAUAGGACAUCAUAGAGGGUGAGAAUCCCGUAUUUGACCAUUAUUUCCAGCUUUGUGAUACACUUUCAAAGAGUCGGAUUGUUUGGGAAUGCAGUCCAAAAUGGGUGGUAAAUUUCAUCUAAAGCUAAAUACUGGCGAGAGACCGAUAGCGAACAAGUACCGUGAGGGAAAGAUGAAAAGAACUUUGAAAAGAGAGUUAAACAGUACGUGAAAUUGUCAAAAGGGAAGCGUUUGACACCAGUGUUGUUUUCUCGAAAAUCAAUUAAAAAAAGUUGGAUUUUGUAUUGUUAUGACCUUUAUCAGCUUACUGUACUCUUUUCUUGUCUUUUUUAAUGCACUUUUCGUUUAACAAGUCAACAUCAAUUUCUUUUGUUGUAAAAGAGGUCAUUGGAAGGUGGCUUUCACUUCGGUGAAAGUGUUUAUAGCCUUUGGCUUCUACAAUCGGAGAGAUUGAGGUCUGCAGCGUAGAUCCUUCGGGGCUAGAUACGUAGAUGCUAAGUUAUAGUUUUUUAUAGACAACUUGUUGACUAUAAUUAAUCAUGUAGCUUACUCGUUUGCGCUAUUUUACCUACGCUUAGGAUGUUGACGAUCAGCUGAGCGCG
rnacentral:rRNA from 1 species